rnacentral:SRP_RNA from 1 species
GCCGGGCGUGGUGGCGGGCGCCUGUAGUCCCAGCUACUUGGGAGGCUGAGGCAGGAGAAUGGCAUGAACCCAGGAGGUGCAGUUUGCAGUGAGCUGAGAUCGCGCCACUGCAUCCAGCCUGGGUGACAGAGCAAGACCUUGUCUCAU